GCAUUAAUGGGGUAGUGGUAACCUGGGUCGUUGCCAUGAUUCGAACGUGAGUUCGACCCGCCGGGGGUUCGAUUCCCCCUUAAUGCA
rnacentral:tRNA from 1 species